rnacentral:rRNA from 1 species
UACAGAGGGGGCAAGCGUUGUUCGGAAUUAUUGGCGUAAAGCGCGUGUAGGCGGCUUAGCAAGUCGGCGUGAAAGCCUCGGCUCAACCGAGGAAGUGCACCGAAACUGCUGAGCUUGAGUGCCGGAGAGGAGUGGCGGAAUACCCAAGUAGAGGUGAAAUUCGUAGAUAUGGGGUGGAACACCGGUGGCGAAGGCGGCCAUCGUGGACGGUAACGUGACGCUGAGACGCGAAAGCGUGG